GGCCAGUGGCUCAAUAGUAGCGAGGCUGACUCCAGAUCAGAAGGCUGCGUGUUCGAAUCACGCCCGUCA